rnacentral:rRNA from 1 species
UACGUAGGGUGCAAGCGUUGUCCGGAAUUAUUGGGCGUAAAGGGCUCGUAGGCGGUUUGUCGCGUCUGCUGUGAAAACCUAAGGCUCAACCUUGGGCUUGCAGUGGGUACGGGCAGACUAGAGUGCGGUAGGGGUGACUGGAAUUCCUGGUGUAGCGGUGGAAUGCGCAGAUAUCAGGAGGAACACCGAUGGCGAAGGCAGGUCACUGGGCCGCAACUGACGCUGAGGAGCGAAAGCGUGGGGAGCGAACAGG